UCCAGAGAGAGGCUUCUAUAGACACAUCACCCUCUGGCUAAAUAGGUUAACUACGUCCCCUCCGGAAGAUGCUCCCGUACCCGCUGCCCGCCCUACCGGCUGCCCCCAGCAGAUGGUGCCGCUCUGCAGCAGAAGCCCUCUGCGGAGAACGCGGCUCGGCGGCCCCGCGCUCGGAGAGGGGAAGGUUUCUCUUUCCCGUCAGCAGAUUUCAGGUUGUCAAGAGCACCUUUUAUUCUGUGGCAUGCCUUCUUUAUAUGGUAAUCUACAACAGUUUUUUCGGUUUUACCUUCUCUCCCCCUCCCCCGCCUCCCUCCCUGCCUUAAUUACCUAAAUUGGUUGCUGUGGGGGAGAUGAAGGGAGCAAGAACCUUGACAGAAUUGCAAAGAAGCUCUGUUCCACAAGUCGCUUCUGAAGUGCUGUCUCCAUCACACAGCAGAACAUUGAUGUGAUUGGAGGAGCAGUGGGCUAUAGCUGGCUGGAGGUGCUGCUUGAUCAAAGUCUGGAGGCUGAACAUUCUCCUUCCUGUCUCACAAGUGAGCCUGGAUAGGAGCAUUUGAUGGCUUCCACACAAACUUCAGGAGCUGUCAGGGAGCAGACACGCUGCCAAGAAGCCAUCCUCCUUGGAAGAUAGAAGCAAGGUUCUCCUCCUAGCCAAGAGCUCAGGCGCAUAAGAAUGAAGUGGGCUCUGUGCUCCCUUUGCAGACACACAGUGCUCCUGCACGCCGCCGACCUGGCAAGAAAAAGUCCUGAAUGUGCCCCAGACCCUAAGACACCUGGCUGGCUUCUUUAACCUUUUCACAGAAGCCUUCUAAGCUAAGUAAUUUAUUUAUAGUAAUAUUUAUCCCUCUCAGACAUUUUCCUGGGGCGGUCUCUUUCAUACUUCUCUUCGUCUGAUUAGUUUCCAUAGUGACACUUAUUUGUAGAGUUUAGAGUUGCUCCUAGCAGGUUUCUGCAAAUGCCAGCCGCAUGUGCGCCAUGUUAAUAAGACAAAGCCAGCCCUAGUUCUUUCCUUUUGAUGGUUUGAUUUUGCUCUGUAUUUGGGAGCACCCUUGGGGAGAAAAUGAAAUAAAACAAAAAGAAGUGGGGCAGAGGCUCCUUUGGAUCCCAGAAGCUUAUUUUUCUGGGUGGUACUUUUGACUGAGCUAGUUCUGUCUGAAUGUCAGUGGCAGCCUCUGAAGUGCUGUCUGUCUGCAUGAACUAUUAUGUAAGCGAGGGAAACCUUCCAUUAAAGCAAGGCCUUUAGACUGCUGCUUUAUUUAAAAUGCAGAAUUACAUGAAAAAGCAAUUCAAUUGAGUGGUGCCUUGUAGGUUGCCUUUUAUCCCAGGCUGAAGUAGGAACUUGUUUUUCUUCUAGGGAAAUUACUACUAUUUUAAAAAUAGGAGAAUGCUAAAAUCAGAUGCAAGCUUGUAAACACAUGCAUGUACACACACAUCUUAACAGCAUGCUGUUCUGUGAAAGGGCUAAACAAAUGUCUGCAAUCAGGGGAUAAAAGCAACCCCCAUACUGACAAGAGCAAUUUCAGGAAUAUGGCUAUUAAAAAAAAAAGCUGAUUCUUUGCGACAAUCACAAUGAAUUUGUAAGAAAAAAAAAAAAGAUAAUUAUAGAAGUAGACCUAAAAUUUUAAAAUUUGUGUUUUCUCACCCCUCAUCCUUCUGAAUCUUUGCAAAACGAAGGCAAUCAGUGGGGGGACGGAAGACAGAUUUGUGAAGCAGGAAAUCUUGACUUCAUUGUAGAGUGUCAGUUCCAUGUAGUGUCACUGGCCUUCAGAUGUGCUGCAAAGAGGAGGAGAAGGAUGUCCUCAAUGCAUCUCAUGCUGCUCAGUAGGAUGGAAUCUGCUGAGGAAGCUCAGUGAGACAGAUGGUGGCUGCAGGUGAAAUCUUGACAAGAAAUCAAAUGAAAUCUCCAGUGAAUAUUAUUAUAGGGAGAAGAGCAGUGCUUUCUCAAUUUAUGUUCCU